UACGUAGGGUGCAAGCGUUGUCCGGAAUUAUUGGCGUAAAGCGUGCGUAGGCGGUUCGUUAAGUCUGUUGUGAAAGCCCCGGGCUCAACCUGGGAAUGGCAAUGGAUACUGGCGAGCUAGAGUGUGUCAGAGGAUGGUGGAAUUCCCGGUGUAGCGGUGAAAUGCGUAGAGAUCGGGAGGAACAUCAGUGGCGAAGGCGGCCAUCUGGGACAACACUGACGCUGAGGCACGAAAGCGUGGGGAGCGAACAGG
rnacentral:rRNA from 1 species